UAGUAAUGGCAGGUCAGCAUACUGCCGUGAAUACGUUCCCGGGCCUUGUACACACCGCCCGUCACACCAUGAGAGUUGGGAAUACCCGAAGCCUGUGAGCUAACUUUUAGAGGCAGCAGUCGAAGGUAGAAUCAAUNAUUGGGGUGAAGUCGUAACAAGGUAGC
rnacentral:rRNA from 1 species